rnacentral:rRNA from 1 species
GAUGAACGCUGGCGGCGUGCUUAACACAUGCAAGUCGAACGGUGAACCCGGAGCUUGCUCUGUGGGAUCAGUGGCGAACGGGUGAGUAACACGUGAGCAACCUGCCCCUGACUCUGGGAUAAGCGCUGGAAACGGCGUCUAAUACUGGAUAUGUGACGUGACCGCAUGGUCUGCGUUUGGAAAGAUUUUUCGGUUGGGGAUGGGCUCGCGGCCUAUCAGCUUGUUGGUGAGGUAAUGGCUCACCAAGGCGUCGACGGGUAGCCGGCCUGAGAGGGUGACCGGCCACACUGGGACUGAGACACGGCCCAGACUCCUACGGGAGGCAGCAGUGGGGAAUAUUGCACAAUGGGCGCAAGCCUGAUGCAGCAACGCCGCGUGAGGGAUGACGGCCUUCGGGUUGUAAACCUCUUUUAGCAGGGAAGAAGCGAAAGUGACGGUACCUGCAGAAAAAGCGCCGGCUAACUACAUG